GGGGGGGUCCUGCUUCCCGUAGACCCCACCUCGAAGGGCUGGAGGCCCAUCCUGGGCCCUCUGCCUGGGGGGCAUCCCCGACACUCAGGCUGAGGGGGUAGCCCAGGGAAACAGCAGCUGCUCCCCUUGAAACGAGUGCAGGCCUCCAGAAGAUUCUCGGGACGAGAGCCCACCCAUCUGGUCUUGUCCCCCGUUCUCCCUGCAGCUGAGAGCACUAUUCUUCAUCCGCGGGCGGUUCCAGAACCCGAGAGAAUCCAGGUCCUAUACCCCAGCCACCGGCAGCCUUUGCGGCCCCAAGCGGUGCACGGCCCGGCCCCGACCUGCCCUCAGCCCUGGGGCUGAUGGCCACGAUGGCCCCGGCAGCCGGCUCCUGCCCAGCGGUUCCCUGGACACCUCCAGGGUACAAGACCUCAAGCCCCGGCUAGAGAGCCACUCCCCCGCCGCCCGGAGGAGAGAGUUCCCCUCCAAAUGCCACUCGGCCUGCUCCACAACAGCAGCCCCCCACCCCCACCCCGAGUCACUCCCGCUGUGCUUUGAAGCCCACAUCACACGUAAUUCGCAUCAGCCAGCCGCGUCCCGCCUGCCAUGAAUCUCCACCAGAGGAGCCAGCCUGCCUGGAAAUUACCCCCAUUAGGCCUAAUUACAGGCCCUGGGAUUUGCCCCACAAGCUGUGUCCCCUGAGGGUGGCCCUCAUUGGUCCUCUCGGCUCCUGCCGGCUGUCCCCAAAUCAGUUCUCCAAAAUAGGAUUGGGACACAUACCCAGGCUGCUUGGUGAAAAGGCAGCUGCGAGGGCCACACCCGGUCCUUUAAUAUCAGAUGCCAGGCCCAGGAACCUGCAUUUUAAACACCUGCCCGGGCGAUUCUUGGAAUUAAACAGACGUUGGAGCAAAACAAAACAAAACAAAACAAAAAGAUCAAGAGAAAAAACACCGAAAGGCCCCCCCACAGCCCGGCUCUGUUCUGCGGACGGAACAUAUUUCCACGUGCUCCCUGAGCUUAGCGAUGUCUCCUGCAGGCUGGGCCGGACCUGAGCCCUGGGGGUGGGCUUGCUGGUAUGUCCU